UGGUUCUGGCAUCGAUGAAGAACGCAGCGAAAUGCGAUAAGUAAUGCGAAUUGCAGAAUUCCAGUGAGUCAUCGAAUCUUUGAACGCACAUUGCGCCCAUUGGUAUUCCGAUGGGCAUGCCUGUUCGAGCGUCAUUAUCAACCCUCAAGCCCCCGGCUUGGUGUUGGAGGCCAGGUCUCGGUGCCCCCGAGACCGCUCCCAAAGACAAUGACGGCGGCCACGAGCGACCCCCGGUACACUGAGCUUUUAACCGAGCACGUGCUGGAUGGGCCUCGGGGUCACGGUCUGCCUCCCCUCAGGGAGAAUAACUUUUUAUCAAGGUUGACCUCGGAUCAGGUAGGGAUACCCGCUGA
rnacentral:misc_RNA from 1 species